rnacentral:rRNA from 1 species
UACGGGGGGUGCAAGCGUUAUUCGGAAUCAUUGGGCGUAAAGGGCACGUAGGCGGUCUUUUGAGUCAGAUGUGAAAGCCCUCGGCUUAACCGGGGAAGUGCAUUUGAUACUAAAAGACUUGAGUAUGGGAGAGGGAAGCGGAAUUCCUGGUGUAGCGGUGAAAUGCGUAGAUAUCAGGAGGAACACCGGUGGCGAAGGCGGCUUCCUGGACCAAUACUGACGCUGAGGCGCGAAGGCGUGGGGAGCAAGCAGG